rnacentral:rRNA from 1 species
CGCUGGCGGCGUGCCUAACACAUGCAAGUCGAACGAAUCAUCUUUGUAGCAAUAUAGAAGAUGGUGAGUGGCGCACGGGUGAGUAAUACAUAGAUGAUCUGCCUUUCAGACUGGGACAACUCAGGGAAACUUGAGCUAAUACCAGAUAAGACCACAUGAAGGGAUUCACGUGACCAAAGGGUGAGCAAUCUCCUGCUGGAAGAUGAGUCUAUGUCCUAUCAGUUAGUUGGUGGGGUAAAGGCCUACCAAGACGAAGACGGGUAGCCGGCCUGAGAGGGUGAACGGCCACACUGGAACUGAGACACGGUCCAGACUCCUACGGGAGGCAGCAGUGAGGAAUUUUCCGCAAUGGGCGAAAGCCUGACGGAGCGACGCCGCCGUGAGGGAUGAAGGUUUUCGGAUCGUAAACCUCUUUUAUCAAGGAAAAAGGCUUUAAUGCGAAUAACAUUAAAGUUUGAUUGUACUUAAUGAAUAAGCCCCGGCUAACUACGUGCCAGCCGCAGC